rnacentral:rRNA from 1 species
CUUUUGAUAAUAAUUUAAGGUUUAACCUGCCCAAUGAGAGUUUAAAUGGCCGCGGUAUUUUGACCGUGCAAAGGUAGCAUAAUCAAUAGUUUUUUAAUUAAAAGCUGGAAUGAAAGGUUGGAUGAGAAAAUUACUGUCUCUAUUUAAAUUUUAUAAAAUUUUAUUUUUAAGUUAAAAAGCUUAAAUGUUUUUAGAAGACGAGAAGACCCUAUAGAGUUUUAUUUAUUUAUUAAAUAAAAUUUUUAGUAUUUAAAAUUUUAUUUAGUAAAUAAAUUUGAUUGGGGUGAUUAAAAAAUUUGAUUAACUUUUUUUUUAUUUGUACAUUAAUUUAUGAUUAUUUGAUCCUUUAUUUUAAGAUUAAAAGUUUUAAUUACCUUAGGGAUAACAGCGUAAUUUUUUUAGAGAGUUCUUAUCGAAAGAAAAGAUUGCGACCUCGAUGUUGGAUUAAAAUUAAAAUUUGGUGUAGAAGCUAAA